ACAAAUUCUUGUCGAUGUCUCCCAUUUAUAUAGGUUUAAUUAUAACAGUAAUUUUUUGUUCUCUAUCCUGUUUAAUCGCUCCAGGGCCAGACAAGCCAUUAAACCGUAUUUUACUUUGUACAAGCGUCAUAUGUCUAUUCAUAUUUUGGUGCCUGAUAUACGUUGCACAAAUGAACCCUAUUGCGUUUCCAGCGUGAACACAAAAUAUGUUGUAGCAAGGUGGCCCUUUAUUGCAGCCUGUCAUCCUUAUUGAGUCAGAAUAAUCUGUUCGAUUGCAUGCGCUAUCACCUCAAUGUACAAAAAUAAUAUAGGUAUAUUCUGCUGGGAGGCUACAUAGCGAAAUAGCUUCACAAGUGCCCUUGUAUUUUCCGUAGCUCCUUUUGGUCAAUAAAAAUUACAUUGCUCAGGAUAAAUUACUCGCUCGUUUAGAACAUUGAUGGCCAGUCGGAUGGCCGCGAUACAGCGUUGCUGUCAUAUGGCCAUUGUUCUUCUCAGCCUCACAACUGAACCACUGUAUUUUCAAGGCAGGUUGAAGACGUAAAAAACAAAGUAUAUGUGCGCAACAGAACUGUACAGGAGAACUUCGACAAAAACGUUCUAACCUUCUUGUUAGCCGCUUCACUACUCUAUCGAAACAACACACUAAGCCUUUUUUUCUCGCCGCAGCAUAGUGCCUGAAGUUCCACUAGUCCGUGACUGUCUGAUUUUGGUAUUUAACAAUGUCUCCGGAUAGGUAAAAUAGAGGGAGUUCUCGAUAGCUCAUUACUAUGCGGUGCCCACGCAGAGAGUGACGCACGGUGUUUCGAUCAUGAAACAGUAAAAGCAUAUGAGGCAAUUGUCUCUACGCGUGGAGACCGAUUUCGAACUGCGCGACUCAACGCUGUUUUUCUGAGUAGAAACGAGAAUCGCGUACAUGUUUUCUUCUUCAAUACAGGUGUACUAUAUACAGAGAGGAGUUGAAUCAACGUUCAAGACCGCAUUUAACUCAUGAAAAACGUUGUAUCUUGUACACGAUGCAUGCUCAUUAGUGGCACGCGUUGGAACAUGAUCAAUUUAUAUUCGUUUUUGUAAAAAGAGAGUCGAGUUUCAAAAAUCAGAUUGUACCGCCCUAAUUUCAC